AUUGAACGCUAGCGGGAUGCUUUACACAUGCCAGUCGAACGGCAGCGCGGACUUUGGUCUGGCGGCGAGUGGCGAACGGGUGAGUAAUGUAUCGGAACGUGCCCAGUAGCGGGGGAUAACUACGCGAAAGCGUAGCUAAUACCGCAUACGCCCUACGGGGGAAAGCAGGGGAUCGUAAGACCUUGCACUAUUGGAGCGGCCGAUAUCGGAUUAGCUAGUUGGUGAGGUAACGGCUCACCAAGGCGACGAUCCGUAGCUGGUUUGAGAGGACGACCAGCCACACUGGGACUGAGACACGGCCCAGACUCCUACGGGAGGCAGCAGUGGGGAAUUUUGGACAAUGGGGGCAACCCUGAUCCAGCCAUCCCGCGUGUGCGAUGAAGGCCUUCGGGUUGUAAAGCACUUUUGGCAGGAAAGAAACGUCGCGGGCUAAUACCCCGUGGAACUGACGGUACCUGCAGAAUAAGCACCGGCUAACUACGUG
rnacentral:rRNA from 1 species